rnacentral:rRNA from 1 species
UACGUAGGGUGCGAGCGUUGUCCGGAAUUACUGGGCGUAAAGAGCUUGUAGGCGGUUUGUCGCGUCGUCUGUGAAAACUCACAGCUCAACUGUGAGCUUGCAGGCGAUACGGGCAGACUUGAGUACUUCAGGGGAGAUUGGAAUUCCUGGUGUAGCGGUGGAAUGCGCAGAUAUCAGGAGGAACACCGAUGGCGAAGGCA